rnacentral:ncRNA from 1 species
UUUCCCUUAGGAUAGUUGGUGCUCUCCCAAAACCCAACCCACACAGUUUUAUCCAGUAAAGUUAAUAUUAGAGGUCCUGGGGCCAAAAUGAUCUCAACCUAUUCUCAAACUUUAAAUGGGUAAGAUUAUUAUUGUUGUUAUUUUUAUUUAAUUUAAUUAAUUAAUUAAUUAAUUAAUUAAUUUAUUUAUUUUUUGAGACAAAGUCUCGCUCUGUCGCCCAGGCUGGAGUGCAGUGGCGCCAUCUCGGCUCACUGCAAGCUCCGCCUCCUGGGUUCACGCCAUUCUCCUGCCUCAGCCUCCUGAGUAGCUGGGACUACAGGCGCCC